GCCAUUCUGCAGGCCUUUGGGGAUGCGUCUGGGCUCCGCGCAAGCAGUGAGAAGACCGUGGCGUACCCUAUAUCUUGCACUGGUUAUGACAUUGCAAGUCUGUUGGCUGUUUUCGGAGGGGUUCAAGGUUGUUUCCCAUGCCAAUAUUUGGGCCUCCCUCUCGGUCUGAGAAAGCCUCGAAGGGCAGAGGUGCAGCCGGUUCUUGACAAAGUCGCGGGCAAGUUGGCUCCUAGAAAGGGGAGGUUGCUGAACAGGAUGGGGCGGCUAGUGUAUAGCAAUUCGGUGGUUACUGCCACGGCCACCUUCUUCCUAACGAGUUUUCAGCCUGACAAGUGGUUCAUCAAAAAGAUGGACAAGAUAAGGAGGAAUUUCCUUUUGGGUACAGAUGAUGAUUGUGACGCCCGGAUAAUUAAGCUACAGUAA
rnacentral:rRNA from 1 species